UUACAAACAACUAUUUUCUUCUGCUACAUUUUAUAUAAUAUGCUAUUUUGCAUAAUUUCCUAUUUUCAUUGGCAUGUAGAGAAGUGAGUUAUCUGAUGAAAGAGAAUUGUAUAUAAGUUUGCUAUUCAACAUGUGGUGUCAGAGUAGCAGCAUCAACAUUACCUAGUGACUACCUGAAAACACAGAUCUCAGGCUCCUUCCUAGACCUACUGAAUAGAAGUCUACAUUUUAAAAGCUUUGCAUCACUACUGAGUUCUGGCUAACAAAAAGAAGAAACAAAAACUCACAAAACUUCUAAACGUUGCUUUUUCAUUUCUUCCUUCUGACACCUGGAAUUUAAACACAAUAGCUGAAGUAUUAGAACCAUGAUAUGACCCUGGGAAAAGAAGCCAAACUGAGAGAAGUGCCGCUUCCUUAGAACAUCUUCUAGACUGUUUUACCCCCAAUGUCUUUAACAGGAAAUAAAUAAGUUUCUACCUCAAGUCCUCAUUUUUUCAGACUCUACUAUUCUCAGUCUAAAGUUAUUCUAACAAGUAUUAUUGGCUAGUUGCCUGGGAGG
rnacentral:lncRNA from 10 species